rnacentral:lncRNA from 1 species
GGGGUACCCCAGGAAUGCAACUUUAGUAGAACAUCUGAAAGUCAGUCAGUGACCAGAGUCCAGGACAGGAACCAUAUGACCAUCUCAGCAGAGGCAGAGAACGCGUCUAACCAACUCCAGCAUACACUCCACAUGCAGAUAUUUUACACUCAUAGAUGAAAAUCCAGUGACCAAAUAUUGAAGGCACCAGACCGUCCUCCAUACGGUCAGGAAUGAAAUAGGAAUCUUUGCUCCCAGCAUGCAUCUGUUUAGCUUGCACUGGAGGAUCUGGGCAGCAAAAUCAAACACUAGAAAGGAAAUGAGUGAUUGUUUCAUUUUUUUUUUUUAAUGAAAAAGAAGAACUAAACUUUCUCUAUUUAUGCAUGACAUGACCUUAAUAUGUAGGAAAUCAUAAACCACACAAAACUUUUAAGGCUAAUAAAUUAACUUAGCAAGGUUCCAGGUGACAUGAUUGGUAAUACAAAAGUCAAUUGUAAUUUUCUAAAAUCAAAUUGAGAAAAUUCUAUUCACAGUUACAUCCAAAAGAAUAAAAUACUUAGAAAUAAGUCUUUUUUUUAAGUAGGUGAUUUAUACCUUAAAAUCUUUAAAACAUUGUUCAAUGAAUUUUAAGAAUAAGUAAAUGAAUUUAAAAACUAGGGGCUGGAGGAGCUGGCUCAGCGGGUAAGAGCACCUGUUAUUCUUGCAGAGGACUCGGGUUCAAUUCCCAGCACCCACAUGCCGACUCGCAAUCGUUUGCAGCUCCAGGGAAUCCAAGGCUCCUGUGGGUGGGAAGCAAGCACACGGUGUGCAGGCGUGCUUGCAGGCAAGAUGCGCACACAGAUAAAUAAGUCUAGAAAAAGUUGUUAACUGAAAAAUUAUCAUAUGAUCAUGGGUUACAUGGAAUACUAAGAUUUAAACACUACUCAAAAUGACCUACAGAUGGAACAUAAAAUCUAUCAUAAAAUUAAAGCUGGUUUUUUGUUUCAGAAAGGAACAGACUAACCUGAAACUUGUAAAGGAUCCAGAGUAGCCAUCACCGUUCUAGAAAGAAAGCAUAAAGAUGUGAGACAGUUCCUGAUUCCAAAGCUUCCUUACUGAUACGGUAUCACUGCAGUGGGACACUGGCAUACUGAUGUAGAAACAGAUUGGUAGGAUAGGACUUAAGGUCCAGAAAUAAAGUCUUACACAUACACAGUCAGUUUACAAGGGAGCCAACACCUUUCAGUGGGAAAAAGAAUAGUC